UGUUGGCAUGCUUGAAGCUGCAGAUCUUUCACUUGAUGAACCAGAAUUGGAGGAGGAAAUCAUUGGUUCUCUCACUUGAGUCUACUGCCAAUCUGCCAUUCGCUCCUUCAGCCAUGAGAGAAUGAGACUAUCAGUCAUUCUCUCCAUUUAUGUAAUCGACUUAUGAACUACCUAUUUGCCAUUUGAACUUUAUGUGUAUGAGACUUUGUGGCCAUCUGAGCCUUGCUAUUUGUGUUCUAUUUAAAAUAUGGUGUUGAGAACUUGAGAGUUGAGAUUGCCAAACCAUUCUGCAAUUGGGAGCGAAAUGGCAUUGCAAAUUGGAUGCAACUUGCAAUGAGAUGGGGGGACGAGGAUCGAUCAAGCACUUGAUAAAAGAGACACCAAAUGGGGCAGUACUCUAGUCUAUUCUUUAUUUUGAUCUAUUUCUCUUUAAUUUUCUGUCUUAACUCUAUAUUACAUGGCAUAU